CCUACGGGUGGCUGCAGUAAGGAAUAUUGGUCAAUGGACGAAAGUCUGAACCAGCCAUGCCGCGUGGAGGAUGAAGGUCCUCUGGAUUGUAAACUUCUUUUAUAUGGGACGAAAAAAGGCCUUUCUAGGCCGUCUGACGGUACCAUAUGAAUAAGCACCGGCUAACUCCGUGCCAGCAGCCGCGGUAAUACGGAGGGUGCAAGCGUUAUCCGGAUUCACUGGGGUGAAGGUGUGCGUAUGAGGGAUGGGUGAAAUCUCCGAGCUUAACGUGGAAACUGCCAUUGAUACUAUUAAGCUUGAAUAUUGUGGAGGUUAGCGGAAUAUGUCAUGUAGCGGUGAAAUGCUUAGAUAUGACAUAGAACACCAAUUGCGAAGGCAGCUGGCUACACAUAUAUUGACACUGAGGCACGAAAGCGUGGGGAUCAAACAGGAUUAGAUACCCGGGUAGUC
rnacentral:rRNA from 1 species